UAGUAUCUAUCCCAAAGACCAGGGAGAAAGGAAGGAAAGAUUCUGGUUCUGUCCUCUUCCCCAAGGCAAGGCUGGCUGCCCUACCAACAGAGGCAAAGAGAAGAGUGUGCAAGGCUGGCUGCCCUCCCAACAGAGGCAAAGAGGAGUGUGUGUUGAAAUAUCCAUUGAAUCCCUGAGACAACUGGAUCCUGGCCCAUUGAAUCAUAAACUCAGCAGAAUCUCACAUCAUAACCCCAAAUGACCUGUUACUCACCAUGUGGCCCAGCUGUCUUCAAACUCACCAGCCUCCUGCCUUAGCCUUCUAAAUGCUUGGAUUACAGGCAUGACCCACCAUAACUGGCUUUGUUUUAGUUUCAGAGAAGAUGAAACUGAUGUGCGUCAAAAAGUUAUGGAGGCUGGGAAGACCUAGAAUGUGGCAUCACUAUUUGGAAACCAUGCCGAUUACCGACCGAGCUCUCAAUGGAAAAAUGCAGUCGGCGUGAACCACGCACGAACACAGCAGAGAAAGAAGAAAACACACACCACGAGGAACCCUAAUAGGACAAUACAUUAUAAGCCUCAUGGUACAUCCACUUGGUGUGCUGGGAGAGUCAGGAUGAGGACCUGAGAAGAACAGCAGCUUGAACCUGACUUCAUUUAACAGCCCACUGCCCUCUUGCCAAGAACCCAUCACAGACCUUCCCAGAAGAGAGGGAUGAGCCUCACCUAUGAAUAAGUCCUCAGAAACUCAAAUUUGAUUCUAAUGGAUUGUUUUCUCAGAAAGACUGAGCAUGUCCCCCCACAUCUCUGUCAUUUCCCACAGUAGUAACCUCUGCAGAUGCCACAUAGAAAACAAAACAAAACAAAAAAACAUGAGGUUGGUGGGCAGAUAGGCAGGGUAUAAACAAACAGCCUUGUAACCCAGAAGCUGUGUGAUAUACAGUAAACUUCACAACACUGAAAAGAUGUCCUAUCUGUUAAAAUGGGGUAAUAACAACUACCCGAAUGUUUAGGAAUAGAACUUCAAUAAAUGAUACAUUUUAUAGUACAGCAGAC
rnacentral:lncRNA from 1 species